CCUACGGGGGACAGCAGUGAGGAAUAUUGGUCAAUGGACGAGAGUCUGAACCAGCCAAGUCGCGUGAAGGAAGACGGCCCUAUGGGUUGUAAACUUCUUUUAUCGGGGAAUAAAACGUUCCACGUGUGAGAUUUUGUGUGUACCAGAUGAAAAAGCAUCGGCUAACUCCGUGCCAGCAGCCGCGGUAAUACGGAGGAUGCGAGCGUUAUCCGGAUUUAUUGGGUUUAAAGGGUGCGCAGGCGGUUGUUUAAGUCAGCGGUGAAAGUGCGGGGCUCAACCCCGUACUGCCGUUGAAACUGGGAGUCUUGAGUGCGCGAGAAGUGUGCGGAAUUCGUGGUGUAGCGGUGAAAUGCAUAGAUAUCACGAAGAACUCCGAUUGCGAAGGCAGCAUACCGGCGCCCAACUGACGCUGAGGCACGAAAGCGUGGGUAUCGAACAGGAUUAGAUACCCCAGUAGUC
rnacentral:rRNA from 1 species